GUGGGGAAUAUUGGACAAUGGGGGGAACCCUGAUCCAGCCAUGCCGCGUGUGUGAAGAAGGCCUUUUGGUUGUAAAGCACUUUAAGCGAGGAGGAGGCUACCGAGAUUAAUACUCUUGGAUAGUGGACGUUACUCGCAGAAUAAGCACCGGCUAACUCUGUGCCAGCAGCCGCGGUAAUACAGAGGGUGCAAGCGUUAAUCGGAUUUACUGGGCGUAAAGCGCGCGUAGGUGGCCAAUUAAGUCAAAUGUGAAAUCCCCGAGCUUAACUUGGGAAUUGCAUUCGAUACUGGUUGGCUAGAGUAUGGGAGAGGAUGGUAGAAUUCCAGGUGUAGCGGUGAAAUGCGUAGAGAGCUGGAGGAAUACCGAUGGCGAAGGCAGCCAUCUGGCCUAAUACUGACACUGAGGUGCGAAAGCAUGGGGAGCAAACAGGAUUAGAAACCCCAGUAGUCC
rnacentral:rRNA from 1 species